UGUUUAGAUUUAGAUUUAGAUUCUGUCCAUUUGAAUCAUUUAUUUUUGGAAGGUGGUUUUAUGUGUCCUGAUUCAUGACGCUGAGUUCCUUCCUAUGCAAAGGUUUGUGCAGCCCUCGACUCUUGUGCACCUUUUAUUGUGCGACAGGAAUGUGACUUUCUGCAUCUCUGUCUUAAUUCCACAUGAAGUUCUCUGUUCAGCCGAGUUUCUAAAUAAAACCGUGUAAAAGCUCA